UUUAAGUGCAACUAUGAGUUCUUUGUCCAACUUUGAUCGUUCGUCUUAUUUGAUUUUUUUUUUAUAAUUAGUAUUUUUGUUGUUAUCAGAUGAUAAAACAUGAAUAGUAUUUUAUGUGCGACUCAUGUUUUUAAUUUUUUUUAAAAAAAAUUUAAAUAAGAUGGAUGAUCAAAGUUGGUCACGGAAAACUAUGGCUGCAUUUAAA
rfam:Oryza glaberrima chromosome 10 Oglab10_0057_1, whole genome shotgun sequence.